rnacentral:rRNA from 1 species
GACGAACGCUGGCGGCGUGCUUAACACAUGCAAGUCGUACGGUAAGGCCCUUUCGGGGGUACACGAGUGGCGAACGGGUGAGUAACACGUGAGUAACCUGCCCACAACUUUGGGAUAACGCUAGGAAACUGGUGCUAAUACUGGAUAUGUGCCCCUGCUGCAUGGUGGGGGUUGGAAAGCUCCGGCGGUUGUGGAUGGACUCGCGGCCUAUCAGCUUGUUGGUGGGGUAGUGGCCUACCAAGGCGGCGACGGGUAGCCGGCCUGAGAGGGUGACCGGCCACAUUGGGACUGAGAUACGGCCCAGACUCCUACGGGAGGCAGCAGUGGGGAAGAUUGCACAAUGGGCGCAAGCCUGAUGCAGCAACGCCGCGUGCGGGAUGACGGCCUUCGGGUUGUAAACCGCGUUCAGCAGGGACGAAGCUUUUUGUGACGGUACCUGCAGAAGAAGCACCGGCUAACUACGUG